AGAGGAGGCGGUGGGGUUAGGCCCAGCCUCUCUCGGGCUGAGGAAGCAGAGUUUUGCCUGCACUUUGGGAAGCCUGGUUGUGUCCUUGUCCGAAGAGGAAGGAAAGAGGAGUAAGAUGGAACAGGUCAAACUUAUAUCUGGGUAAUGUGUGUUUACGCGGACAGCUUCCUCUGGGAGUGAGUGCACACGUUUUUUAUGCAAAAGGAUUAGUGUCUGCUUCAGGCGACUGUAAGUGGCCAGAAAGCAAAUUGCAGCCCAGGCCUCUAGAAGAAGGAAGAAAAAAAAGAAACGGCACCAAUUUGUCUGCCGGUUCGCACACAGUUGAACAAAACCUUGAAAAUGUAUACGCACAAGCUGAAAUCCAGGCUACAAAAGGAAAGGACAGCGAGAAAGCCUCUACCAGGGAAACCAACCUCACUUAGGGUCCAGGAAGCCCUUACGAAUGUAGGAAGGGCAAAUGAUGAGGAAACUGAGCUCAGAGGAGUCAUCAUAUGCCUGAAACUGGAAAAGCUGGAGCAGAAUUCAAAAGAAUCUAAACUGUUGCUCCUUCAAAUCGCCUGGGGCUACUGCUCUGACGCCUCUCUACCUGCCUUUCUUUCUCACACUGUCUAUAAACCUGUAUUUCCAAGAAGACUUCCAGGAUUCCCUUCCAGGGUAGACUGUGUCCUGCCUCAUCUGUGCUUUUAACUGUGUUCAAUUUUUACAGUCUUUAAUUGUGUUCACUUAGUUCAAGUCACCCUUCAGCUCAAAAUCCUCACUCAGAAUAAAACCUAAAAUCUCAACGAGGCCUA